rnacentral:rRNA from 1 species
GAAAUUUUAACAUGCAUUACGUUUAUAUAACUCCAGCAAAAUAUUUCAAAAGCCUGUAGCAACGCACGGACAUUCUACUAUGCUUAGAUCACACAUAAUAGUUACACUGCAUGCUCAGUACAAACAUCAUAGCUACACUACUAUGUUUAGAUCGCACAUAAUAGUUAGAAGUGGCUUGCAUAUAAUCAAACAAUAAGUUUGUGCAUGAAAUUAUUUGUUUUGUAAAAUUAACGAUAUAGUAGUUGAAUGCAUAGUAUUAUAUAAAUCAUUGAAGUUUUUUUUAAACAGAAAUACGGUACCAGCGAGCUCCACAUCGGUUUCGAUCUACCUAAUUAUAUAUCAACAACAAAUUUUAACAUAUGCUCCUUCUUACCCCCUCUUUUUACAUAUGAGGUAAAAAGGUAAGAGUUAAUCAGACCAUCAAUUAAUGAUAUCAACAGGUCAGACCUAUUAUAUACUCUUACCUCUCAUGUGAAAAGAGGAGGUAAGAGGGAGUUAAAACUGCUUUAUAUCAAUGACACAGGGGAGCUGGAGUUUGAAUUUGAUGAAUAAAGCAAAAUAAGAUCAUGCAAUCGGAUUUGAUGCUUUAGUUGAAGGUGCAAUUGUGAAAAUAAUUAAAAGAAAGUAACCCGGGACAACAACUACAUUUGUUUCAUAGUGGGAAUGACAGAUGAAACAAUGCCACUUAAUAAAAAUAUCACAACUUCAUGGCUAAAGAGACUUGGAGAAGAGCAACGAAGUGAAAACAAAAACAAUCUACAUGUAUUUAAGUAACAUAUCUACAUCAAGGUAGCCCUCAAUUCAUACAUUAAUAGCUAUAAAUAUGCAUUUCCUAUUGAAGCUAUCAUAUUUAAUUAACGAAUGUUUCCAUGUGAGAAUUCUCAAAAGUUCUUUUGUCUUUAUACCACAACUGUUACUUGCAAAGUUGUUUAAGUGGUGAAUUAUUUUUUUUCUAAGCAUUUUUCUUUUGUACCCGUUGCAACGCACGGGCAUUUAUGCUAGUCUUUACCUAAUAAUAAAGCAAAUUAGGUUUCUGUCGUCCAUCACGUUUUUUUGCAAAAAAAACCCCGCGGUUUGCUGAAAUCAACCCACAGUACUACAGGAAUCAAGUAAAAAAUAAAAUCACUCGCUGGUACAAUUCCUCGCUCCAGUCCCAGGCCGCUACCGCCCGCCUGCCCAUUCUUCGCCGGCGGCGCGCGCGCCCGCCGCCCUACCAGGCUGUGCCUGCCGCCGUGCCAGGUCGCGCCCGCCAUCCCGCGCCCUCGCCCGCCCAGCUCCGCUCGCGCCACCGCCGGCCGCGCCCUCGACCGCCUCCAUGCCCGGCCUCGCCCGCCUCCAUGCCCCGCCAUGCCAGGUCGCGCCCGCCAUCCCACGCCCUCGCCCGCCCAGCUCCGCUCGCGCCACCGCCGGCCGCGCCCUCGACCGCCUCCAUGCACGGCCUCGCCCGCCUCCAUGCCCGGUCUCUCCCGACGCGGAACUGGCAGAGGACGAUAGGAGACCGGCGUGCUCUCGGCAAGGCGUCACGGCACGCGAGGGCUCUGCGACGAAGGAAACAAAAAGAGGGACAAUAGAGAGCAGAGGGUUGUGCGUCUUGGAACCUCGCUAGCCCACGCUCACGAAAGACCUGGAGAACCUCCAGUCGAGCAGGGCAGAGAGAUGGCCGGCAACGGCUUCGCGGCCGAGCUGGGCAGAGGCAGCUGCGUGGCCCACGCAACGGACAAACUGGCGCUCCUCUCCGGCGUCCUCCUUCCGUCGGCAGGCGAGGCAGGAAGGCGGUGGAUUCGAAUAUCACGGCGCAACCUCCCUACUACUCCAGCUCGCGCGUGGCCGUGUGCGUCGCGGCCGGAGAUGGAGACCCGGCUGCUGGCCAGGAGAGAAGGCACAGCAGUCGGAGAGCAUGGCCGACGAGCUGCAGCCUGAGGCGAGGUCGAGCUGGAGAGGGGAGAGAGCCCAGCGAGCGGGGAGGCGAAGCACGCUUGCGGGUGUAGAGAGAGGGAGCGCUGGCUGACGGGGGUCUUCGAAGCCAGAGGAGAGGGGAGAGGGGAAUCGAGGAAGGCAAGCGCUGAGAUCUCAGCCAGAGGUUGGAGAGGAGCGGCCUGGGGCUUAUCCCCUCACGUGCGUGUGUGGCUGGGGUGCGUGCGUGUGUGGCUGGGGUUGCCUGGCAGCCAGGC